rnacentral:rRNA from 1 species
UACGUAGGGGGCAAGCGUUAUCCGGAUUUACUGGGUGUAAAGGGAGUGUAGACGGAAUAGCAAGUCUGAUGUGAAAACCCGAGGCUCAACCACGGGAGUGCAUUGGAAACUGUUAAUCUAGAGUGUCGGAGAGGCAAGCGGAAUUCCUAGUGUAGCGGUGAAAUGCGUAGAUAUUAGGAGGAACACCAGUGGCGAAGGCGGCUUGCUGGACGAUGACUGACGUUGAGGCUCGAAAGCGUGGGGAGCAA